rnacentral:lncRNA from 1 species
CGGGAGUCCUGCGCUGCCGGUAGGGUUAGCUUUGGCAGACUGGUUUAAGGUGAGGGGCCAGCCGGAACAAUCCACACUGCAGCCCCGUGACGUCGCUAUUAUUAAUAUUAAUAAUACCCGAGAGAACUCUGCCCGGACCCGGGACCACGGGACCCCGGGACCCCACCCCUGGAGCCGGGCCUGGGGUUCGCCUGGUGGCCGGGCUGGGCUAUCCACGUAUCUCGGCCGCGACCAGCCCGUGGAGCCUACGGGACUCCGGGGACCCGUAAAUGUGGGCUCACCAUCCGCAACACGAAGAAGGGGGGGCCGGCAUAGUCGGCCCGGUUUCGUUUCGAUAAUGAGUUAAUGUGGCCAGACACGGCAUUGCAGUUAGACUGUGACGUGCGCAAAAGAGAAACAGAUUUUGCAAAACAUCCCAGCUCUUCCGUGAACGGAGGGUGCAGACCAAAGCGAACACCGAAUUAAGUGCAUAAACCGAACUAUGAGGUUGCAUUUAACGUCCUAUCUGACAUGGGUAGUUUACGUGUGUGCAGACCAUGAUGGGUUAAGUCACUUACCAUGCACUGCCCAGGUGGAGCCGGGAGUACCUUACAGAAAAGUGAGCUGGUACAAGGUCGAAGAAGAAGGGCUCGUCGGCUUGGUUUUGAAGAACCUGGAAACUGGGAGGUCGUACCUCUACGGCUCGGCCAACCACAGCUACGCGAUUGGGGAAGACCUCGCGCUCCUCCUGCCCGUCUCGGCAGCGGGGGACUGUGGGAGCUAUCGCUGCACGUUGUGGCCCCCCCUGGGCCAUCAGAUUCAAGAUGGCCUCUCCACGUUCCAUACCGUGGGCUGCCCCAAGCCAAGGAUAACCCCACAGAAGCCAGACAGAAUAAGCCAUUCCUCUGGGUGGGAUCAGAGGGUCUUGACCAUGAUGGUGGGCGUCACAGGAGCAGUAUGCUUGUGCGUUUUUGUGAUGAUGGCUGUAGUGGCUGCCAGCCUCUGGAGACGCACACAGGGACGUGCGUACAACAAACUGCAGGUGGAAACGCUGGGCUGAGAGUUUGGUUGACCAAAACGCAAGAACUCCUCGAUGUUCAAGAUGAGACUCUGGAGGUAAAUCAGGAUAAACACCUUCAUUCAAAAUGUUUAGUACACUUUUGGUUUCCUAAAUGGGGUUGUAAAAAUAUUCCUCAAGAUUGUGAGCUUCCCAAAGGUCCGUGUUGUAGUUUGCGCUCUUUGUCCCUCUUCAGUGAGUUUUCUUUCAUGCAUCAGUACAGUAUUUUUGGGUGUUGUAUAUUUAUAUACUGGCAAAUUAAAGUCUGUUUUUUGAAAGGUCAGAUUGUAAGUAUAGCUUAA